CCUACGGGAGGCAGCAGUGAGGAAUAUUGGUCAAUGGGCUUACGCCUGAACCAGCCAAGUCGCGUGAGGGAAGACUGCCCUAUGGGUUGUAAACCUCUUUUGUCAGGGAGCAACGCCGGCUACGUGUAGCCGGACUGAGAGUACCUGAAGAAAAAGCAUCGGCUAACUCCGUGCCAGCAGCCGCGGUAAUACGGAGGAUGCGAGCGUUAUCCGGAUUUAUUGGGUUUAAAGGGUGCGUAGGCGGAAGCGCAAGUCAGCGGUAAAAUUGAGAGGCUCAACCUCUUCCCGCCGUUGAAACUGCGUUU
rnacentral:rRNA from 1 species